AUUGAACGCUGGCGGCAUGCUUUACACAUGCAAGUCGAACGGUAACAGCACUUCGGUGGCUGACGAGUGGCGAACGGGUGAGUAAUACAUCGGAACGUGCCUAGUAGUGGGGGAUAACUACUCGAAAGAGUAGCUAAUACCGCAUGAGAUCUAAGGAUGAAAGCAGGGGACCUUCGGGCCUUGCGCUACUAGAGCGGCUGAUGGCAGAUUAGGUAGUUGGUGGGAUAAAAGCUUACCAAGCCGACGAUCUGUAGCUGGUCUGAGAGGACGACCAGCCACACUGGGACUGAGACACGGCCCAGACUCCUACGGGAGGCAGCAGUGGGGAAUUUUGGACAAUGGGCGCAAGCCUGAUCCAGCAAUGCCGCGUGCAGGAUGAAGGCCUUCGGGUUGUAAACUGCUUUUGUACGGAACGAAAAGCCCUCUUCUAAUACAGGAGAGUCAUGACGGUACCGGAAGAAUAAGCACCGGCUAACUACGUG
rnacentral:rRNA from 1 species